UACGGGGGGGGCAAGCGUUGUUCGGAAUUACUGGGCGUAAAGGCUCGUAGGCGGCCAACUAAGUCAGACGUGAAAUCCCUCGGCUUAACCGGGGAACUGCGUCUGAUACUGGAUGGCUGAAUCCGGGAGAAGGGAUGCGGAAUUCCAGGUGUAGCGGUAGAAAUGCGUAGUAUAUCUGGAGGAACACCGGUGGCGAAGGCGGCAUCCUGGACCGGCAUUGACGCUGAGGAGCGAAAGCCAGGGGAGCAAACGGG
rnacentral:rRNA from 1 species